rnacentral:rRNA from 1 species
UGGGGAAUUUUCCGCAAUGGGCGCAAGCCUGACGGAGCAAUACCGCGUGAGGGAUGACGGCCCUUGGGUUGUAAACCUCUUUUAUCAAGGAGGAAGUUCUGACGUGUACUUGAUGAAUAAGCAUCGGCUAACUCCGUGCCAGCAGCCGCGGUAAGACGGAGGAUGCAAGUGUUAUCCGGAAUCACUGGGCGUAAAGCGUCUGUAGGUGGUUCGAAAAGUCCACUGUUAAAAAUUGAGGCUUAACCUCAAAGAUGCCGUGGAAACUUUCAAACUCGAGUAUGGUAGGGGUAGAGGGAAUUUCCAGUGGAGCGGUGAAAUGCGUAGAUAUUGGAAAGACCACCGAUGGCGAAGGCACUCUACUGGGCCAUUACUGACACUGAGAGACGAAAGCUAGGGGAGCAAAUGG